rnacentral:rRNA from 1 species
GGUUCGGUGGAGGCGUCGGUGAAAUACCACCCUUAAAGUACCGGAGUUCUAACCGAGGUCCGUCAUCCGGAUCCGGGACAUUGCCAGGCGGGUAGUUUGACUGGGGCGGUCGCCUCCCAAAGCGUAACGGAGGCUCGCGAAGGUUCUCUCAGGCUGUUUGGAAAUCAGCCGACGAGUGUAAAGGCAGAAGAGAGCUUGACUGUAAGACUGACAAGUCGAACAGAUGGGAAACCAGGCCUUAGUGAUCCGGUGGUUCUGUAUGGAAGGGCCAUCGCUCAAAGGAUAAAAGGUACGCCGGGGAUAACAGGCUGAUCCUGACCAAGAGUUCACAUCGACGUCAGGGUUUGGCACCUCGAUGUCGGCUCAUCGCAUCCUGGGGCUGGAGCAGGUCCCAAGGGUUCGGCUGUUCGCCGAUUAAAGCGGUACGUGAGCUGGGUUUAGAACGUCGCGAGACAGUUCGGUCCCUAUCUGUUGUGGGCGGAGGAGAAUUGAGUGGAGGUUUCCUUAGUACGAGAGGACCGGGAAGCACUGACCUCUAGUGUACGAGUUGUCGCGCCAGCGGCAUCGCUCGGUAGCUAAGUCGGGAAAGGAUAAUCGCUGAAAGCAUAUAAGCGAGAAGCCAACCCCAAGAUGAGUUCUCCCUGAAGACCCGUGGUAGAUGACCACGUUGAUAGGCAGGAUGUGUAAGGGCGCCAACGCCUUCAGCUUACCUGUACUAAUCGGUCGUUUGACUUGACCAUAUUU